rnacentral:rRNA from 1 species
AUGGAUCUCAUGUUCAGCUUCUGUUCCCAGCCGGUCGAUGUCGAUGCCGUUCCAGAUCUGGGAGGACUAGAGGAAGGGCAGGCGGCGACGAGUGCGGGGAUGGAGGGGAAGAUGAAGAUACUGAUUCUCCUUCCUCAAGUUCUGCAUCUCAAGUUCAUGAAGCCACGGACGAAUUUUUCAAUGUCCCAGAUAUUGACAGCACCGACAGUCACAAAGAGCCCCAAUCUUAAUCCGGGUGCACUCCAAGUCCGUGACCUCAAAGGGUCCGACUUGGGAAGAUAUCCGACUGCCGCGCCUCAUUAUCGGGAAGGAAAAGUGCUUUGGGGAAAGCCAUGA